GGACCAGGCCUACCGUGUGACAGGGACCCAUUGGGGAACAAACCCAACAGGUCUGCACUUGGUCUAGUUAUUCUUAUUUUUUGUUAUUUUGGGCGAAGUUCACCCCUUCUGUCUCACUUUUACUUUUGUUACUAUCUUCAUUUUUUUGCUAUUGUUUUGGGCGACGUUUUGAUUGAGUUUUUCAGCGAGUCGAGCAAGCUGCAGACCUUAACUUGGCUGGUGAGCACCUGGAUCAGGAUGGUGUGCAGUGGAAAGGAAGAAAUUAAUAAACCAAACACAAGUAGAAUAUUGAAAAUCAUGAACUUGAUCAAAGGGAAGAUAAUGUGGCCUACAAGAAAAUGCGAAGUUGUGCC